rnacentral:rRNA from 1 species
AUACGGACGGUGCAAGCGUUGUCCGGAAUCACUGGGUGUAAAGGGUGUGUAGGCGGGGCUGUAAGUCAGAGGUGAAAUCCUACGGCUCAACCGUAGAACUGCCUUUGAUACUGCAGCUCUUGAGUCUCGGAGAGGUCAUUAGAAUUCGUGGUGUAGCGGUGAAAUGCGUAGAUAUCACGAGGAAUACCAGAGGCGUAGGCGGAUGACUGGACGAGUACUGACGCUGAGGCACGAAAGCGUGGGGAGCAAACAGGAUUAGAAACCCCGGUAGUCC